rnacentral:rRNA from 1 species
ACUCCUACGGGAGGCAGCAGUGGGGAAUAUUGCACAAUGGGGAAACCCUGAUGCAGCCAUGCCGCGUGUGUGAAGAAGGCCUUCGGUUGUAAAGCACUUCAGUAGGGAGGAAGGUAGUGUAGUUAACACCUGCAUUAUUUGACGUUACCUACAGAAGAAGCACCGGCUAACUCCGUGCCAGCAGCCGCGGUAAUACGGAGGGGUGCGAGCGUUAAUCGGAAUUACUGGGCGUAAAGCGCAUGCAGGUGGUUUGUUAAGUCAGAUGUGAAAGCCCGGGGGCUCAACCUCGGAAUAGCAUUUGAAACUGGCAGACUAGAGUACUGUAGAGGGGGUAGAAUUUCAGGUGUAGCGGUGAAAUGCGUAGAGAUCUGAAGGAAUACCGGUGGCGAAGGCGGCCCCCUGGACAGAUACUGACACUCAGAUGCGAAAGCGUGGGGAGCAAACAGGAUUAGAUACCCUGGUAGACUGUCA